UAUCCUCUUUGAGGGCCUCUAUCAUUUGCAUGAAUUAAUUUUUAAGGUCAUUCUCUUUGGCUUCAUUUACAUUGGAAUGUUAGAUCUUGCUGUUGUAGAGACUCUAGAGUCAGGCAGUGUAAUAUUUUUUUUUCUGUUGCUGAGUGUGUUUUUGUAUUGUCUCCUUCCCAUCCCUUCUACUAGUGGAUGAAGAAGGAGCCUCUUCCUGGCCAGGUGGUUAAGUGAUCAGGCUUCACUUUUGUUGAGGAUCUCAGGUCGUUUCCUGCUUUUGAGAACGAGGCUCUUGAUGAGAAGAUCAAAUACAGUCCUAUCCAGCUGGGAUGCCAUGAACCAAACAAUGUCCAUCACGGAAAGACAUCCCAUUUACCAGAGACCACCAGGAAGGCAGCUUUUCUAAGAAGAAACCAUGGCUGGGACAGGCGUCAUGAGAUGCAGCUGCCCUUGGGUCAGCCCUAAUGUAGGUGAUGCCACACCCAUAAUUCGUUGAGGAUCGCAGUUCAUUUCUGGCUUUUAAGGAGGAGGCUCUUGAGGGGAGGAGCAAUAACAGUCCUACCCAGCUGGGAUGUCCCUGAACCACAAGAAUGACCUGCAUGCCAUGAUGUCCCGUUUACCAGAGACCUCCAGGAAGACAGCUGUUCUAAGGUGAAGCCAGCCUGGCCCAGGCAUCGUGAGAUGCAGCUGCCCUAGAGUCAGCCCUGCGUAAGUGGUGCCGCAACCAUACUUCUGCAAGGAGCUCCAGGAAACCUGCUGACUUAAUGAGCUGGAUUUGGGGAGAGUAGUUUCCCCAGCAUUCUUAUACUGAUGGUUUCUGGGACAUUGGAGAUCUUUUUACCACUUUGCCCUUUCAGCCCAGCGCCCCCGUACACCUGGAGUCGAGAGCAAAGUCUUCCAGUUUCAUGUUGCCAUCUAUGUUUAGCAGGGUGCUGUGUGGUUUUGGUUCUCCAAGGACAAUGUGACGUUAACUACUUGAAUAUUUGCAACCCCCCACCUGCAGAUUCCUUCCUACAGUUUCACUUGGAGCAAAUUAUCUCGAGUGAAAUAAUGGUUUUGGGUUACAAUAAUCUGGAAAGUGGAAUAUGUGUGGAUUGUUUAGUAUUUCAAGUUUCACCAAUGAACGGAUGGACCAAUGACAAUUCUCUGUGUUGUCUACAACUUUUAUGGCCACUGGGGUGCAUGUGAGAUGCUGAUUGGCCAGUUUCGCAGAGAAAAAGGAACAAUGUCAAUGGUAAAUAGAAUCUUGUAUUGUG